rnacentral:rRNA from 1 species
CCUACGGGAGGCAGCAGUGAGGAAUAUUGGUCAAUGGGCGGGAGCCUGAACCAGCCAAGCCGCGUGAGGGAAGAAGGUACAGCGUAUCGUAAACCUCUUUUGUCAGGGAACAAAGGCGGGGACUAGUCCCCGGAUGAGGGUACCUGAAGAAAAAGCAUCGGCUAACUCCGUGCCAGCAGCCGCGGUAGUACGGAGGAUGCGGGCGUGAUCGGAGUUUAUGGGGUUUAAAGGGUGCGCAGGCGGCCUGUUAAGUCAUCGGUAAAAGCCCGGGGCUCAACCCCGGCGAGCCGUUGAAACUGGCGGGCUGGAGUUGGAGAGAGGUACGCGGAAUGCGCGGUGUAGCGGUGAAAUGCUUAGAUAUCACGCAGAACCCCGAUUGCGAAGGCAGCGUACCGGCUCCACACUGACGCUGAGGCACGAAAGCGUGGGUAUCGAACAGGAUUAGAUACCCCAGUAGUC